rnacentral:tRNA from 1 species
CGGGACGUAGCGCAGCCUGGUAGCGCACCUGCAUGGGGUGCAGGGGGUCGGAGGUUCGAAUCCUCUCGUCCCGACCA